CAACCUGCUGGCCGUCGUUGGAGGAGGAGUCAACCCCAAGUUCUCAGAAAUCUCUGUGCUGAUCUGGGACGACGCUCGGGAGUCGCGAGACCCAAAACACAAGCUGGUUCUGGAGUUCACCUUCACCAAACUGGUUCUGGCUGUCCGCAUGAGGCACGACAAGUGAGUUCACCUGCUCCCCUGCUCGGCUGCGUCCAACACGUCGCUUGGUUUCAGCGGGAUGAAGAUCUUGUUUGUGUUCAGGAUCAUCAUCUGUUUGAGUUUGACACCAGAGAUAACCCUAAAGGUUUGUGUGAUUUGUGUCCCAGUCUGGAGAAACAGCUGCUAGUCUUCCCGGGUCACAAGUGCGGCAGCCUGCAGCUGGUCAUAAG